UGGGGAAUAUUGCGCAAUGGCGAAAGCCUGACGCAGCGACGCCGCGUGAGGGAUGAAGGUCUUCGGAUCGUAAACCUCUGUCAGCAGGGAAGAACGGUCACUGUGCUAAUCAGCAGUGAAUUGACGGUACCUGCAAAGGAAGCACCGGCUAACUCCCGUCGCC
rnacentral:rRNA from 1 species